rnacentral:rRNA from 1 species
CUACCCUGAAAGCGGCUAAUAUUGUCUGAUCUCAGAAGCUAAGCAGGGAUAG